rnacentral:rRNA from 1 species
UACGGGGGGGGCAAGCGUUGUUCGGAAUUACUGGGCGUAAAGGGCUCGUAGGUGGCCAACUAAGUCAGACGUGAAAUCCCUCAGCUCAACUGGGGAACUGCGUCUGAUACUGGAUGGCUUGAGUUUGGGAGAGGGACGCGGAAUUCCAGGUGUAGCGGUGAAAUGCGUAGAUAUCUGGAGGAACACCGGUGGCGAAGGCGGCGUCCUGGACCAACACUGACACUGAUGAGCGAAAGCCAGGGGGGCAAACGGG